rnacentral:piRNA from 1 species
UUAGAAACAAAGACACGAUUGCCAUUCCUG